rnacentral:lncRNA from 1 species
CUCACAUUCUGCUGAACAGGGGAAGCAGCCAGGAGGGGUGCUGGAGGCCAAGAUUUGCAAAACUGGCUGAUGUUAAGGCGCUGUGUGGAACGCAGCUGAGGACAGCUGGGGGGGACACACCAGCAUCCUCAGGGGGUGCCUGGGGUCCAGCCUGGAUGUGGCAGCCACCGGCACCAUGGGCUCGGUGCAGCGCUCUGAGAAGGGCAGAGCAGACCACAGCAAGCACAGCAGUAUAACCAUCAAAUAUGGCAAGCAUCAGGAACAGACUGAAGCAUGGAGAAUGGCAGGCAGAGGCAUUCCUGUUCAUGAAAAAAUCCUUUCUGACCAAGAAAAGCACUGUGCUUCAUGACUCUGGAAAUCAACUGAAAUCUCACCUGCAGCAAAUAAUAACACAGAACAGGCAAGGAGGAGAAGGCCAU